rnacentral:rRNA from 1 species
UACAGAGGGUGCAAGCGUUGCUCGGAUUUACUGGGCGUAAAGCGUACGCAGACGGACCAUCAAGUCGGGAGUGAAAGCCCUGGGCUCAACCCAGGAACGGCUUUCGAUACUAGUGGUCUUGAGUUUGGGAGAGGGAAGCGGAAUUCCUGGUGUAGAGGUGAAAUUCGUAGAUAUCGCUUGGAACGCCGAAGGUGAAAACAGGCUGCUGGGGUUGCGCCGACGCUGAGACACGAAAGCCAGGGGAGCAAACGGG